rnacentral:rRNA from 1 species
UACGAAGGGGGCUAGCGUUGUUCGGAAUUACUGGGCGUAAAGCGCGCGCAGGCGGUCCUUCAAGUCAGAGGUGAAAGCCCAGAGCUCAACUCUGGAAUGGCCUUUGAGACUAGAGGACUUGGGUACGGGAGAGGUGAGUGGAAUUCCGAGUGUAGAGGUGAAAUUCGUAGAUAUUCGGAAGAACACCAGUGGCGAAGGCGGCUCACUGGCCCGUUACCGACGCUCAGGCGCGACAGCGUGGGGAG